GCUGGGCAUGGUGGCGCGUGCCUGUAAUCCCAGGUACUUGGGAGGCUGAUAUAGGAGAAUCGCUUGAACCCAGGAGGUGGAGGUUGCAGUGAGCCGAGAUUGCGCCACUGCAUUCCAGCCUGGGUGAGACAGCGAGACUCUGUCUCAA
ensembl:misc_RNA Metazoa_SRP Metazoan signal recognition particle RNA